GUCUUCCUCUCUCGGCCACGCCUCUCUCCUUCUCCCCCGACCUAUCUCUCUCUUCUCCUUCCCUCUGUCAUCACCGGAACCACAGUGUCCGGCCACCGCCUCACAUCACCGCUACCACCAAUCGAAGCACCACCUCAAUCCGACCCAAACCCAUGAGAGAUCGACUCCAUGCAUCAAACCCCGACCUCUCGCUCCCUCUCUCUUCUGAUUCCUUCUGCAACCACCGGAGAACACCAACUCCGGCCACCAUCUCACCACACUGCCUCCAUCAAUCGACGCAGCACUAAAACCCGACCAAAGCCCAAGCCUCACCUUCGACAUACACCGCCUGCAGCCACCAUACGCGGCCACCACAGUUGUGACACCACAGCCCUUCCUCCUCCGUCGAUUUUCGACCAUCGCCUCGCCACAACGACGCCACUGCCUGACUCAGCGAGCAACGAGGAGCAAAACCCAGCGAGUCCUUUUCACAGAUCGACGCCACACGAGCAUCGUCGGAGCUCGAGGCUCUGCAUGCCUUCGUUCUCCCAUCUCCGGCGCGAAUCGAGCCAAACCACCACCGUAAAUGGAGUCAACGUGUUCUUGUUCGCCGGAACCCUUUGAUUCCGAUCUCUGGUUCCGCCCAGAACUCUGGCACGCGCCUCACGCGCCGCCGCAGGCGCGUGGACCACCAUAGCCACUGUGGACGCCGCCACG
rnacentral:lncRNA from 1 species